rnacentral:misc_RNA from 1 species
GAUGAAGAACGCAGCGAAAUGCGAUAAGUAAUGUGAAUUGCAGAAUUCAGUGAAUCAUCGAAUCUUUGAACGCACCUUGCACCCUUUGGCAUUCCGAAGGGUAUGCUCGUUUGAGUGUCAUUGUACUCUCACACUCUCCGAUCCUAUGGAUUCGGGGAGCGGUGGACUUGGGUGUUGCUGCCUUUCCUUGUGGCUCACCUCAAAUGUGUCAGUGCACCUCUUGGUUGGACAUAGUACGGCGUGAUAAGUGUCUUCGCCGGCACCUCGCAAGAGGGUGGCCGAUCGGGAGCUCUGUGCUUUCAAACCGUCUUCGGACAAUUUCUGACAACUUGACCUCAAAUCGAGUAGGACUACCCGCUGAACUUAAGCAUAUCAAUACGCGGAGGA